rnacentral:tRNA from 1 species
AGCCUAUUAGCUCAAAUGGUAGAGCAAUGAGCCACUGGGCCACGUACAUAUAUGUAGGUUCGAGUCCUAUAUAGGCUG